AUUGAACGCUGGCGGCAGGCUUAACACAUGCAAGUCGAGCGGAGUGAUGGUGCUUGCACUAUCACUUAGCGGCGGACGGGUGAGUAAUGCUUAGGAAUCUGCCUAUUAGUGGGGGACAACAUCUCGAAAGGGAUGCUAAUACCGCAUACGUCCUACGGAAGAAAGCAGGGGAUCACUUGUGACCUUGCGCUAAUAGAUGAGCCUAAGUCGGAUCAGCUAGUUGGUGGGGUAAAGGCCUACCAAGGCGACGAUCUGUAGCGGGUCUGAGAGGAUGAUCAGCCACACUGGGACUGAGACACGGCCAGACUCCUACGGGAGGCAGCAGUGGGGAAUAUUGGACAAUGGGGGGAACCCUGAUCCAGCCAUGCCGCGUGUGUGAAGAAGGCCUUAUGGUUGUAAAGCACUUUAAGCGAGGAGGAGGCUCUUUUGGUUAAUACCCAAGAUGAGUGGACGUUACUCGCAGAAUAAGCACCGGCUAACUCUGUGCCAGCCGCCGCGGUAA
rnacentral:rRNA from 1 species